rfam:Stegodyphus mimosarum contig108324, whole genome shotgun sequence.
GCCUUCGUGGUGUAGUGGUCAGCACGCUCGACGCGUAUUCGAGAGGUCCCUGGUUCGAGUCCCAACGAGGUCA